rnacentral:misc_RNA from 1 species
GUGAAUCAUCGAAUCUUUGAACGCAAAUUGCGCUUCCUGGUAUUCCGGGAAGUAUGCCUGUUUGAGGGUCAGUAUUAACAAAAAAUCGGGUUGGUUGUAAAUUGUGACGGUUCCGGAGUUUGUGCUUAUCUUAACUGUUUGAGUUAAGGGGCUUAAAAUUGACCGUAUUUGCGCAUUUUUAGUCGUACAUAAAUGUUGUUUUAUUCGUCUAUUCGUAAUGCCUAGAUGUGAUUAUAUGCGAUG